GACGAACGCUGGCGGCGUGCUUAACACAUGCAAGUCGAACGAAGAGCGAUGGAAGCUUGCUUCUAUCAAUCUUAGUGGCGAACGGGUGAGUAACGCGUAAUCAACCUGCCCUUCAGAAGGGGACAACAGUUGGAAACGACUGCUAAUACCGCAUACGAUCUAAUCUCGGCAUCGAGGAAAGAUGAAAGGUGGCCUCUAUGUAUAAGCUAUCACUGAAGGAGGGGAUUGCGUCUGAUUAGCUAGUUGGAGGGGUAACGGCCCACCAAGGCGAUGAUCAGUAGCCGGUCUGAGAGGAGAACGGCCACAUUGGGACUGAGACACGGCCCAGACUCCUACGGGAGGCAGCAGUGGGGAAUCUUCCGCAAUGGACGAAAGUCUGACGGAGCAACGCCGCGUGAGUGAUGACGGCCUUCGGGUUGUAAAGCUCUGUUAAUCGGGACGAAAGGCCUUCUUGCGAAUAGUGAGAAGGAUUGACGGUACCGGAAUAGAAA
rnacentral:rRNA from 1 species